GAGCUGUGAUGAAAACUGCACAUUGUUGUGGCACUGGGUUCGCCACCACCAUCAGAACUACCUGAAGAAUUUAAGCGUGCAUCUGAGCCU
rfam:Spinacia oleracea cultivar SynViroflay scaffold11781.con0006.1, whole genome shotgun sequence.